rnacentral:rRNA from 2 species
UACGGAGGGAGCUAGCGUUGUUCGGAAUUACUGGGCGUAAAGCGCACGUAGGCGGCUUUGUAAGUUAGGGGUGAAAGCCCGGAGCUCAACUCCGGAAUUGCCUUUAAGACUGCAUCGCUUGAAUCCGGGAGAGGUGAGUGGAAUUCCGAGUGUAGAGGUGAAAUUCGUAGAUAUUCGGAAGAACACCAGUGGCGAAGGCGGCUCACUGGACCGGUAUUGACGCUGAGGUGCGAAAGCGUGGGGAGCAAACAGG